UACGGAGGAUCCAAGCGUUAUCCGGAAUUACUGGGCGUAAAGAGUUGCGUAGGUGGCCGUUCAAGUUUCUGUUUAAAUAUCCAGGCUCAACCUGGAGAAGGGCAGGAAAACUGGAUGGCUUGAGUAUGGGAGAGGUAGAUGGAAUUUCUAGUGUAGGAGUGAAAUCCGUAGAUAUUAGAAGGAACACCGAUGGCGUAGGCAGUCUACUGGCCCAUUACUGACACUAAGGCACGAAAGCGUGGGGAGCGAACGGG
rnacentral:rRNA from 1 species